rnacentral:rRNA from 1 species
UACAGAGGUCUCAAGCGUUGUUCGGAUUCAUUGGGCGUAAAGGGUGCGUAGGUGGCGAGGUAAGUCGGAUGUGAAAUCUCAGGGCUCAACCCUGAAACUGCAUUCGAUACUGCCUUGCUCGAGGACUGGAGAGGAGAUUGGAAUUCACGGUGUAGCAGUGAAAUGCGUAGAUAUCGUGAGGAAGGCCAGUGGCGAAGGCGGAUCUCUGGACAGUUCCUGACACUGAGGCACGAAGGCCAGGGGAGCAAACGGG